CUGUCACUAGGAUGACUGCGCGCAUAGCUAGUGGUAAGGUAACGGCUUACCAAGGCGACGAUGCGUAGCCGACUCGAGAGGGUGAUCGACCACACUGUGACUGAGACACGGCCCAGACUCCUACGAGAGGCAGCAGUAGGGAAUCUUCCGCAAUGGACGAAAGUCUGACGGAGCAACGCCGCGUGAGUGAGGAAGGCCUUCGGGUCGUAAAGCUCUGUUGUGAGGGAAGAACAAGUACCGGGGUAACUACCGGUACCUUGACGGUACCUCACCAGAAAGCCACGGCUAACUACGUGCCAGCAGCCGCGGUAAUACGUAGGUGGCAAGCGUUGUCCGGAAUUAUUGGGCGUAAAGCGCGCGCAGGCGGCUUCUUAAGUCUGAUGUGAAAUCUCGGGGCUCAACCCCGAGCGGCCAUUGGAAACUGGGAAGCUUGAGUGCAGAAGAGGAGAGUGGAAUUCCACGUGUAGCGGUGAAAUGCGUAGAUAUGUGGAGGAACACCAGUGGCGAAGGCGACUCUCUGGUCUGUAACUGACGCUGAGGCGCGAAAGCGUGGGGAGCAAACAGGAUUAGAUACCCUGGUAGUCCACGCCGUAAACGAUGAGUGCUAGGUGUUAGGGGUUUCGAUGCCCGUAGUGCCGAAGUAAACACAUAAGC
rnacentral:rRNA from 2 species